GCUGCGAUGGCCGAGUGGUUAAGGCGUCAGAUUCGAAUUAAGUAGUAUCUGAUGGGGUCUCCCCGCGUAGGUUCAAAUCCUGCUCGCAGCG
rfam:Serendipita vermifera MAFF 305830 unplaced genomic scaffold scaffold_2, whole genome shotgun sequence.